rnacentral:rRNA from 1 species
UACGUAGGUGGCAAGCGUUGUCCGGAUUUACUGGGUGUAAAGGGCGUGUAGCCGGGCUGACAAGUCAGAUGUGAAAUCCGGGGGCUCAACCCCCGAACUGCAUUUGAAACUGUUGGUCUUGAGUAUCGGAGAGGCAGGCGGAAUUCCCAGUGUAGCGGUGAAAUGCGUAGAUAUUAGGAGGAACACCAGUGGCGAAGGCGGCCUGCUGGACGACAACUGACGGUGAGGCGCGAAAGCGUGGGGAGCAAACAGG